rnacentral:misc_RNA from 1 species
AACACUGUUAACCUGCGGUACCUGCGGAGGGAUCAUUACAGAGUUCGUGCCCUCGCGGGUAGAUCUCCCACCCUCGUGUAUUUUCUACAUCUUGUUGCUUUGGCAGGCCGUUGGUUCGCCAACCACCGGCUCGCGGGCUGGUGCGUGCCUGCCAGAGGACCUCUCAAACUCGGUUUGUUAGUGUCGUCUGAGUACCAUAACAAUCGUUAAAACUUUUAACAACGGAUCUCAGAUCGGAAG